rnacentral:piRNA from 1 species
UGGUCAUCAUAUUGUUUACCUUCUAAGAG